UAGGGAAUAUUGGACAAUGGGCGAAAGCCUGAUCCAGCCAUCCCGCGUGCAGGAUUAAGGCCCUAUGGGUUGUAAACUGCUUUUAUCAGGGAAGAAACCGAGAGAUUCAUCUCACGUUGACGGUACCUGAUGAAUAAGCACCGGCUAACUCCGUGCCAGCAGCCGCGGUAAUACGGAGGGUGCAAGCGUUAUCCGGAUUUACUGGGUUUAAAGGGUGCGUAGGUGGUCUAGUAAGUCAGCGGUGAAAGCC
rnacentral:rRNA from 1 species